GAUGAACGCUGGCGGCGUGCCUAAUACAUGCAAGUCGAGCGAACGGACGAGAAGCUUGCUUCUCUGAUGUUAGCGGCGGACGGGUAAGUAACACGUGGAUAACCUACCUAUAAGACUGGGAUAACUUCGGGAAACCGGAGCUAAUACCGGAUGAUAUUUUGAACCGCAUGGUUCAAAAGUGAAAGACGGUCUUGCUGUCACUUAUAGAUGGAUCCGCGCUGCAUUAGCUAGUUGGUAAGGUAACGGCUUACCGAGGCAACGAUGCAUAGCCGACCUGAGAGGGUGAUCGGCCACACUGGAACUGAGACACGGUCCAGACUCCUACGGGAGGCAGCAGUAGGGAAUCUUCCGCAAUGGGCGAAAGCCUGACGGAGCAACGCCGCGUGAGUGAUGAAGGUCUUCGGAUCGUAAAACUCUGUUAUUAGGGAAGAACAUAUGUGUAAGUAACUGUGCACAUCUUGACGGUACCUAAUCAGAAAGCCACGGCUAACUACGUG
rnacentral:rRNA from 1 species